rnacentral:rRNA from 1 species
AAGAAGCCGUCGAGAGAUAUCGGAAGAGUUUUCUUUUCUGUUUUAUAGCCGUACUACCAUGGAAGUCUUUCGCAGAGAGAUAUGGUAGAUGGGCUAGAAGAGCAUGACAUAUACUGUUGUGUCGAUAUUUUCUCCUCGGACCUUGAAAAUUUAUGGUGGGGACACGCAAACUUCUCAACAGGCCGUACCAAUAUCCGCAGCUGGUCUCCAAGGUGAAGAGUCUCUAGUCGAUAGAAUAAUGUAGGUAAGGGAAGUCGGCAAAAUAGAUCCGUAACUUCGGGAUAAGGAUUGGCUCUGAAGAUUGAGAUAGUCGGGCUUGAUUGGGAAACAA